AUGCAGCUGAAGUGGCUUGCCGUCAGGCUCAGGAGGCGUCGGCGUGUCGUGCGUUCUCGUGGGUUGUCUCCCGCGGGUGGCGCCUGGCCACCGACAAAUCUGCACUUCUGCGGGAAGCCGGCCAACGGCAGUGGUCCUCGGCUCACAAGGGCGUCUGGGGGAGGUGGCUCCGUGCCUCGUGCGUGGAGAGCUUACAGCCCGGCGUCUGGCAGUCUGGGGGCGACUGAAGAGAGUUGCGUGUCCUUCGCACUUGCGGUGCAGGCCCUCGGGGCUGGACCCCUCUCGUCGGGGUGGCGGCCGACCUGGUCCACUGCGUGCAGUGUCCGGGGACGGUACCGUCGUUCAGGCGGGAAGCGGGUCACACCUUGCGCCGUGGCCGUUGGUGCCCGAAUGGCUGCAUCCGA
rnacentral:rRNA from 1 species